rnacentral:rRNA from 1 species
GACGAACCGUCCAAACGUUAUUCGGAAUCACUGGGCUUACAGAGUUCGUAGGCGGUCUGGAAAGUUGGGUGUGAAAUCCCUCGGCUCAACCGAGGAACUGCGCUUGAAACUACCAGACUCGAGGGAGAUAGAGGAAAGCGGAACUGAUGGUGGAGCGGUGAAAUGCGUUGAUAUCAUCAGGAACACCGGUGGCGAAGGCGGCUACCUGGACAGGUACUGACGCUGAUGCGCGAAAGCUAGGGGAGCAAACAGG